CACUCCUACGGGAGGCAGCAGUGGGGAAUAUUGGACAAUGGGCGCAAGCCUGAUCCAGCCAUGCCGCGUGAGUGAUGAAGGCCCUAGGGUUGUAAAGCUCUUUCACCGGUGAAGAUAAUGACGGUAACCGGAGAAGAAGCCCCGGCUAACUUCGUGCCAGCAGCCGCGGUAAUACGAAGGGGGCUAGCGUUGUUCGGAUUUACUGGGCGUAAAGCGCACGUAGGCGGACUAUUAAGUCAGGGGUGAAAUCCCGGGGCUCAACCCCGGAACUGCCUUUGAUACUGGUAGUCUUGAGUUCGAGAGAGGUGAGUGGAAUUCCGAGUGUAGAGGUGAAAUUCGUAGAUAUUCGGAGGAACACCAGUGGCGAAGGCGGCUCACUGGCUCGAUACUGACGCUGAGGUGCGAAAGCGUGGGGAGCAAACAGGAUUAGAUACCCGUGUAGUCCC
rnacentral:rRNA from 1 species